rnacentral:rRNA from 1 species
UGCAGAAUCCCGUGAACCAUCGAGUCUUUGAACGCAAGUUGCGCCCGAUGCCUUCGGGCUGAGGGCACGCCUGCCUGGGCGUCACGCAUCGCGUCGCCCCCUACACCAAUUUGGUGAGGGGGCGGAUAAUGGCAUCCCGUUAGCUCGGUUUGCCCAAAAAGGAUCCCUCAUCGAUGGAUGUCACAACCAGUGGUGGUUGAAAGAUCAUUGGUGCCGUUGUGCUUCACUCCGUCGCAUGCUUGGGCAUCGUUACAAAACAAUGGUGCUAACGCGCCUUCGACCGCGACCCCAGGUCAGACGGGACUACCCGCUGAGUUUAAGCAUAUCAAUAAGCGGUGGAGAAGAAACUUACAAGGAUUCCCCUAGUAACGGCGAGCGAACCGGGAAUAGCCCAACUUGAGAAUCGGGCGGCCACGCCGUCCGA